rnacentral:misc_RNA from 1 species
GAUGAAGAACGUAGUGAAACGCGAUAGGUAAUGUGAAUUGCAGAAUUCCGUGAAUCAUCGAAUCUUUGAACGCACAUUGCGCCCGCCAGUAUUCUGGCGGGCAUGCCUGUUCGAGCGUCAUUUCAACCAUCAAGCCCCCGGCUUGUGUUGGGGACCUGCGGCUGCCGCAGGCCCUGAAAACCAGUGGCGGGCUCGCUAGUCACUCCGAGCGUAGUAAUACAUCUCGCUCAGGGCGUGCUGCGGGUUCCGGCCGUUAAAAAGCCUUAUUUACCCAAGGUUGACCUCGGAUCAGGUAGGAAGACCCGCUGAACUUAAGCAUAUCAAUAAGCGGAGGA